UCCUCGAUCAUGUUCCGGAUACCGGUGG
rnacentral:sRNA from 1 species